rnacentral:rRNA from 1 species
UGGGGAAUAUUGGACAAUGGGCGAAAGCCUGAUCCAGCAAUGCCGCGUGAGUGAUGAAGGCCCUAUGGGUUGUAAAGCUCUUUUGUAUGGGAAGAUAAUGACUGUACCAUAAGAAUAAGGACUGACUAACUACGUGCCAGCAGUCGCGGUAAUACGUAGAGUCCUAGCGUUACUCGGAAUUACUGGGCGUAAAGAAUGCGUAGGUGGCUUUGUAAGUUAAUGGUGAAAUCCCAGGGCUUAACCCUGGAGCUGCUAUUAAUACUGCAUCGCUAGAGUAUGGUAGGAGGCAAUGGAAUUCCUAGUGUAGGGGUUAAAUCCGUAGAUAUUAGGAGGAACGCCGGAAGCGAAAGCGUUUGCCUAGGCCAUUACUGACACUGAGGCAUGACAGCGUGGGGAGCAA